rnacentral:piRNA from 1 species
UGGUAGUGAUAUGCAGGGGCCCCAGU